UACGUAGGUGGCGAGCGUUAUCCGGAAUCAUUGGGCGUAAAGAGGGAGCAGGCGGCAACUAGGGUCUGCGGUAAAAGACCGAAGCUAAACUUCGGUAAGCCGUGGAAACCGAGGAGCUAGAGUGCAGUAGAGGAUCGUGGAAUUCCAUGUGUAGCGGUGAAAUGCGUAGAUAUAUGGAGGAACACCAGUGGCGAAGGCGACGAUCUGGGCUGCAACUGACGCUCAGUCCCGAAAGCGUGGGGAGCAAAUAGG
rnacentral:rRNA from 2 species